AUGAGUUUCAGAUUAUGUAUCGAGGUGUGAAAGAUGCGUGCCAAAUUCUGAAAUUCUAUAUGCCAAAUUCUGAAAUUUGAUAGAAAUUUUUGACUUGAUCAUUUUCAUUGCUGCAAAUUGCUCCCCCUUGGAUGCAUAUGCUUUCCUAUAUGAUUUUCAAGUUGUUUUACAAGUUAUUUCGUUAUUUCUCCUUCUUUCUUUACUUCUCUUAUCACUCUGUCUUUACUUCUCCCCCUAUUACAUUACUCUUUCUUUACUUCUCCCCCUUUUUGUUAUCAUCAAAUAGAUGCAUGGGAAAAGACACAAUAAAUAACAAGCAUUCAAACUUCAUUGAUCAAAAUAGAAACAUUUUAGUACAUUCUUGCCCAAAAACAAAAACAGAUACAAUGUUCCUUAAUCAAAGUUUAAACAUAUAUGAUAAAAGCAAAAUACAUAUGAGAACUAGAUAUCUAGCCUAGGCUCUAACC
rnacentral:lncRNA from 1 species